rnacentral:rRNA from 1 species
GAUGAACGCUAGCUACAGGCUUAACACAUGCAAGUCGAGGGGAAACGCCAUCGAAAGCUUGCUUUUGAUGGGCGUCGACCGGCGCACGGGUGAGUAACGCGUAUCCAACCUGCCCAUCACUUGGGAAUAACCUUGCGAAAGUAAGACUAAUACCCAAUGAUAUCCCACGAAGGCAUCGGAAUGGGAUUAAAGAUUUAUCGGUGAUGGAUGGGGAUGCGUCUGAUUAGCUUGUUGGCGGGGUAACGGCCCACCAAGGCAACGAUCAGUAGGGGUUCUGAGAGGAGGGUCCCCCACAUUGGAACUGAGACACGGUCCAAACUCCUACGGGAGGCAGCAGUGAGGAAUAUUGGUCAAUGGGCGAGAGCCUGAACCAGCCAAGUAGCGUGCAGGAAGACGGCCCUAUGGGUUGUAAACUGCUUUUAUAAGGGAAUAAAGUGGGUCACGUGUGACUUUUUGCAUGUACCUUAUGAAUAAGGACCGGCUAAUUCCGUG